rnacentral:rRNA from 1 species
AUGGACAGGCUGAGGAGCGUGGUGCUGCGCAGGUGCAAGAGCCUGUCGCGGGCGAGGAGCAGGCGGUCGUCGCCCAGCUCCUACAGCAACCUCCGCUCCAUGUCGGCUAGGGACGACGUCGCCGGAGAAGAUAGCCAGGCCGCGGCCGAGGGGCCGUCGGCGGUGGUGUUCGUGGGCAGCUCGCGGCGGCGGUACGUCAUCAGCGCCAGGCACCUCCGCCACCCGCUGAUCGCCGCGCUCAUCGACGGCGACGCCGGCGAUGGCGACGUGAGGAAUAGCAAGGAGCCGGUGGCCGUGAGGUGCGAGGUCGUGCUGUUCGACCACCUGCUGUGGAUGCUCGACAACGCCGUCGACCUGCGCGCCGGCGCCGGCGGCGAGGAAGACGCCGUCAGGGAGCUGGCCCAGCUCUACGCCACGUGCUAA